rnacentral:rRNA from 1 species
UACGAAGGGAGCUAGCGUUGUUCGGAAUCACUGGGCGUAAAGCGCACGUAGGCGGAUUUGUAAGUCAGGGGUGAAAUCCCGGGGCUCAACCUCGGAAUUGCCUUUGAUACUGUAGGUCUCGAGUCCGGAAGAGGUGGGUGGAAUUCCCAGUGUAGCGGUGAAAUGCGUAGAUAUUGGGAGGAACACCAGUGGCGAAGGCGGCUCACUGGACCGGAACUGACGCUGAGGCGCGAAAGCGUGGGGAGCAAACAGG